ACGAACGCUGGCGGCGUGCUUCACCCAUGCAAGUCGCACGGAAAGGCCCUGCUUUUGUGGGGUGCUCGAGUGGCGAACGGGUGAGUAACACGUGAGUAACCUGCCCUUGACUUUGGGAUAACUUCAGGAAACUGGGGCUAAUACCGGAUAGGAGCUCCUGCUGCAUGGUGGGGGUUGGAAAGUUUCGGCGGUUGGGGAUGGACUCGCGGCUUAUCAGCUUGUUGGUGGGGUAGUGGCUUACCAAGGCUUUGACGGGUAGCCGGCCUGAGAGGGUGACCGGCCACAUUGGGACUGAGAUACGGCCCAGACUCCUACGGGAGGCGGCAGUGGGGAAUAUUGCACAAUGGGCGGAAGCCUGAUGCAGCAACGCCGCGUGCGGGAUGACGGCCUUCGGGUUGUAAACCGCUUUCGCCUGUGACGAAGCGUGAGUGACGGUAAUGGGUAAAGAAGCACCGGCUAACUACGUG
rnacentral:rRNA from 1 species